GAUGAACGCUGGCGGCGUGCCUAAUACAUGCAAGUCGAGCGAACAGACGAGGAGCUUGCUCCUCUGACGUUAGCGGCGGACGGGUGAGUAACACGUGGAUAACCUACCUAUAAGACUGGGAUAACUUCGGGAAACCGGAGCUAAUACCGGAUAAUAUAUUGAACCGCAUGGUUCAAUAGUGAGAGACGGUUUUGCUGUCACUUAUAGAUGGAUCCGCGCCGCAUUAGCUAGUUGGUAAGGUAACGGCUUACCAAGGCGACGAUGCGUAGCCGACCUGAGAGAGUGAUCGGCCACACUGGAACGGGAACACGGUCCAGACUCCUACGGGAGGCAGCAGUAGGGAAUCUUCCGCAAUGGGCGAAAGCCUGACGGAGCAACGCCGCGUGAGUGAUGAAGGUCUUCGGAUCGUAAAACUCUGUUAUUAGGGAAGAACAAAUGUGUAAGUAACUAUGCACGUCUUGACGGUACCUAAUCAGAAAGCCACGGCUAACUACGUG
rnacentral:rRNA from 1 species